AGGUCUAUUUUGCUUUGUAGUCUGCUUGAGCCGUGGCUCGCGUCCGUCACGGAAACUGUGUGGUGGAUCAGAAACAUGUGCACGCAAUCAGCUCGGUCAAUGAAAUGUGGGACACUCGAAAUAUCUCGGUCCCAGUUCAACCUUUCUCCACCCCCUCCUAUCUAGCUCGUCGGCGGAGAGCGAAAAAAUGGCGGCGGAGAGCUGCAUGGGGAAGGUGCUGACCUGCGAGGCAACGGACUCGAAUUCCUACUGGAUCCGGUUGACAGGUGAUUGCGGGUGUUGAGCAGCCAGAUCCAUUAAUUGGUGUUGAGGGCCGUCGGCCGCGGCUGGCCCCGACUCCUCGUGCGCAGUUGUGGUUGGAUUCCCCGGCGGCUCUGCUGGGCAGAGAGAUUCCGGCGGCAAGAGGAAGGAGUCGCCAACCCAGUCCGAGGGACAAGUUGAACCCAGAGACCUGAAGGUUGAGAGUUGGACGUGUACCUCCGGAUAGGGCACCCUGCCCUGUUUGAGUCACUCAAUUAGAAGAAACAAUCAGGAGGUACGCUGAUAAACCAUCGGACAAUGUAGUUAAGGCGUGAAGCCACAGAUUGGGCUGAAUUUUGACUCCCUGAGGAUCACUUCACUAAUAUGUACAUUCAACUAAGUAAGAGUUUGUAUAAAAACAAGACCAGCCCUGAACAGGCAUUCACCUCCCUGCAGUAGCGUUUAUUUGGGUAAAAGAAGGAUGUGGUGCAUCAGAUCCACGAAAUUUUGCUUUUUGACUACAAAGGGUCAACGAUUCUAAAAAAAGACCAAUAUGAUAGCUUGCACAAUCGGAUUCUAAGAAUAUGGGUCUCAUGAGCACCGAGGGUUAACAAGUUAAAAGCUCCACGGAAGAAAACAUCUCCCUAGGAAACAAGUGAACUACAUAUUUCAAAGAGAACCAUACAUGCACAUUUAACCGUUGCAAGGAAAUAUAAAAAGAUUACUAAAUAAGCAAAUUUGGGUAGUCAAGUAAGUUAUAAAUCAUUAAGAAAUAUUAGGCAAACAAAAGUUUUGACAUUUAUCCCCAUAGGAGUUUGUUCACUUCUUUGCUCGAACAACAUUACCCCAUCAACAAAUUAAUUUGUAUGUCCAAAAUAGCGUUAUUUGCACCGAGCAGCGCCAUUAUGGUUCAGUGUAUUACGUUCUCCGCUAAUGAAAUAAAUAUGCAGCUUGCAAACAAUAGAACGGAUCCAUGUCUACUACCCUAGUAAAGCAUGUAACGGUUUGAAGAUAAUACUGAAAUCCACAGAACCAAAGAAUUAAACUGUUUUGUUAUAUUUGGUUCUAUGUUCUAAGAGAAGAACAUUUGUUUAGGCUUUUUUUCCAGGCAGCAUUUAAUUAGGCUUUAGGAGCAUAUCAUCUAAUAUGUGUCAUGAAUAUGCAAACACUAUGAACAAGUAAGCAAAAGUUAUAGGAGACGUAUCACAUUUCCUAUGCUGGUAGUUCAUCACCUUGGGAUGCAGCCAAAAAAACAUAUUUAUGAACACUGUCGAUCAUCGUCGUGCCUCAUGGACAAACCACAAAACUUGGCAAACACUUGAUAGGGAUGAUAUGCCUCUUUUCUAUGUGAGAACUGGUAAACCUGCUCUUCAUUAGAAUUAGAAUAUCGAUCCUUCAUAUCAUAUCAGUAUUUUUGCUUCACUUGACAAUUUUUUAUUCAGUAUAACAAGAGAGUGUUCGCUCUAACUUCAUGAGUUCAAUAAGCACGUUUCUUUUGCUUCUCAACAUAAGAAUUAUCAUACAUAUACAGUAGGUAUGAGAGGAAAACUGCUUCCAGUUCAGAUCCAUGUGGUGUUGCUAUACAUAUAUAAAAGGUAUGAGAGGAAAACUGCUUCCAGUUUAGAGCAAUGUGGCAUUGCCAUACAUAUACAGUAGUUAUGAGAGGAAAUGCUUCAGGUUCAGAGCUAGGUGCAGCCAAUUACAAAAAUCACAGACAUGAGAACGUAGAUUGCACGCAAUAUCCAAUUUCCCGUUAGGGUAGGCCUCUAAAAUCUACCAAAACUAUGUACUCCCUCCGUUCCCAAAUAUAAGUCUUUCUAGAGAUUCCAACAAGUGACUACAUACGGAGCAAAAUGAGUGAAUCUACACUCUAAAAUAUGUCUAUAUAUAUAUCCGUAUAUAGUAGUCCAUUUGAAAUGUCUAAAAAGACUUAUAUUUAGGAACGGAGUAGUAUAUGACAGGAAAGGUUAAAAAACAUUAUAUUACAGUGUUUUUCGUUUUCAGAACAAUACUAUGUUCUUUUCCUGCUUCUGAACAUUCAUCUUCAGAUUAACUUAUAUUAUGUAAAAAAGGCCUAACAACAUGAUCCACUGUUGGUCUUUUGUCCGCAACAACAAAAUCUUGCAAUUCCUACCAUGGUUAUUUAUAAGUCCAUCCCAAAAUGACAUGCCUAAAGUAAACCAGAUGUAUAUGUUUUGCCCAGAGAUAAAAGCUGGAAACAGUAACCUCUGAUAGAUUAUCAGCCAGUAAUAAAUAACAGACUCCACAUAAAUUUGGAAACAAAAUAAACAAAGAAGGUACCAUGUCGAACACAUUGAUGUGUGAAGUAAGAAAAUUAAGACAUUGCUGAAAAGCUUAUAGUCCACUUCAUGUUUUUUUUCCUAAAUGCCGACAAAUUAACUUUGCAUUCUUGCAGGUUGUAUACCUGAAAAUGGGAAAGACUAAAGAGGCAAAAUCAUACAUGUAAAUUUACAUUCUGGUUUCUCUUGGAUCUGCUACAUGCUAAGCUUCUAUAGUCCCAUUUGAAAUAAAUAAGGGGACAAUAUGAGGUUUUCUAGUCCACUCCAUGUCUAUCAACAAAUAGUCAAUACCAGCAGUAGCAGCAGUGCAACAAAUUCUUGAGUAAAGAAGAAAGUAUGACCUAGAUAAAACAUGCGUAAUCCAUGUUUAAGAAUCAUUCUUUAGGCCAUAUAAAAGGAUGACAUAUAUAUGCAAGGUAAAUCCGCUAAAUCAAUUCCCAAAGAAUUGAAUGAGCAGAUCAAAUGCAACAAUUCAGAGCAUAUUUGUAGAGGAAGUAAUGGAAAGACAUUGUAUUGCAGUUCUGUAACCAUUUCCUCAAUUCUAUGGAGAUGAAACCAGAGCGUAACCAAUAAUGAAACACAUGAACAUCAUAGGUGAACUAACCUGAUAAUUCCUAAGGAGUAUUCCAUCGAACAACCUGUGAGCAACCUAAAACCAAUGGCACAGGACAAUUCACUUGAUCUGGAGUGUGGCCAUCUUUGUGUAGGACAUGCUUCGACCAUGGUGAGGGAGAGGUCCAUGCGGCAAGUUUGUCUGCUGGGCGGUGGUCAACAAGAUGGGGACAUUGUCUUCUCCACCCGGUGCCAUCAGGGUUUGCUGGAAAAGGGAUGGUGCAGAAUUCACCCAUUGGUGGCACUAUCGUGCCGGCGACCACUUGCUGCCCUCUUUGUCGGCGGCCUAACCUUCACCCUCUCUUCAUCGCCUCCCAUCACAAAAUUUUCCAUCGACGGCGAACUUGAUCCCCUCCCCUAUCAGUGUGAUUGCUGCUGCUAUCCACAACGGUCAUCGAUGGAAGGCGGUGUAUGUUGAAUAAAUAGUGGUGAGGAUGAGAGCCAUGGAAGUUGCAAUCAAGACUGAGCUGCCCGGGACUGUGCACAGGUGGUGCAGAUGGCAUGUUCUUAAGAAAGCAAAAGAGCACCUUGGUCCGCUGUACACCAGCAAGAGCGAGUUCAGGUCUGAAUUCCGCAAAGUAGUGAAUCACAUGAUAAGUGUGGAGGAAUUUGAGACUGCAUGGGGCAUGCUGAUUGAGAAGUACAAUUUGACCAUUACAAAACGCAGCUUUAAGAUAUAUGACAGAAGUGGGUGAAUUCAUACUUCGAAGGUGUCUUUUGUGCCAAGAUGACUAGCACACGGCGUAGCGAGAGUGCAGACAAUAUGUUAAAAGAUGUGCAUGCCACCAGCCAGUCCAAUGCAUGUGUUCGUGCGGCAGUACACGAGGCUUCAAUUCUACCGAGAACCAGAUGAGAGCUACCAAGAAAAGAGGACAAGGAUUGUAGAGUGGUGCAGUAAUGAGGACAAAUGUUGUGAUCGAGAGGCAUGCAAGUAAGGUCUACACAAGAAUGAUGUUUGGCCAAUUCGGUGAGAACCUCUUCGAAGGUGGGCCUUACCAGGUGGAGGAAGUGGAGGGGAAGAAGUACAUCGCAAGGCACAAUGACGUCUGAAAAACAUGAAAAUUGAAGCAAGGUGGAGUACGAGGUGACCAUAUCAGAUGUUGGAGGGUUCGAAUGUGAGUACGGGCAGUUUACCCACAUGGGGAUGCUGUGUUGCCAUGCUUUCAAGGUGAUGGACUAUGUUGGCAUGCAAGAGAUAGCAAAACGGCACAUCCUUGAGAGGUGGACAAAAGAUGCCAGGGACAUCUUGCCGCAGCAUCUUGCUGCUAAUCGAUCUUUCACCUGCCGGAGCUCGACUCUCUACAUACAGGCCAUGGAGCUCGUCAGGAUUGGGGACUCAUCAGUGAUCAGUCACGACCUACGAGCUCGGGCUGGAUCGGAUGAAGGAAAUAAUCAUGGAAGCAUCGCUACUGGCUUAAUCCAGGGAUGGACUACAAUUUCAGGAUAGGCAAGCUGCCGAAUCGAAUCGCAAUAACAUUGGAUCGGCAUGUGUGAUCAUCAAAGUUGAGGGAGAUAUGGUUGACAAUGCGAACAGCGUGUCUGCUUCCAGCAAUUGGGAUGCCCUUGCUGGACUGUCGGCUCCAAGCAAGAAGCGUUGUGUUGAGCGACCAUGCUCGAGCAGAGAGAACGUGCCGUAUGAGGGAAUGAGUAAGCGGACGAGGUUUUGCAGCAUUUGCAAGCUGCCAGGGCAUAAGAAGACCACCUGCCCAGACAGAGGUGAUGUGUCAAAGCAGCCUUUCAUGCCUGCAAACUCCAAGAACUGUGGCAUUGGAGAGCAGGGCACCGUUGCACCUCGUGCACCAGGCCGCUAGGUGCAUUUUAACACUUCUUGCGACCAUGUGUAACAGUAUAAGAAUAAUCGAGGAUUUUCUAGUGUGUGACUUAUGGGUGAACUCUGCUGUUGUUCCUCCUGAGUGUAAACUAGUUGUAUUUUAGAUGAUGAUGUGUCGUUUGAACUUAUAAAUUUGAUUUUCCCAAA